rnacentral:rRNA from 1 species
CGUGAGUCUUCCGAGUUUUCACUCCAACCCCUGUGACAUACCUAUACGUUGCCUCGGCGGAUCAGCCCGCGCCCCGUAAAAAGGGACGGCCCGCCCGAGGACCCCUAAACUCUGUUUUUAGUGGAACUUCUGAGUAAAACAAACAAAUAAAUCAAAACUUUCAACAACGGAUCUCUUGGUUCUGGCAUCGAUGAAGAACGCAGCAAAAUGCGAUAAGUAAUGUGAAUUGCAGAAUUCAGUGAAUCAUCGAAUCUUUGAACGCACAUUGCGCCCGCCAGUAUUCUGGCGGGCAUGCCUGUUCGAGCGUCAUUUCAACCCUCAAGCUCAGCUUGGUGUUGGGACUCGCGGUAACCCGCGUUCCCCAAAUCGAUUGGCGGUCACGUCGAGCUUCCAUAGCGUAGUAAUCAUACACCUCGUUACUGGUAAUCGUCGCGGCCACGCCGUAAAACCCCAACUUCUGAAUGUUGACCUCGGAUCAGGUAGGAAUACCCGCUGAACUUAAGCAUAUCAAUAACCGGAGGAACU